UACGUAGGGGGCAAGCGUUGUCCGGAAUCAUUGGGCGUAAAGCGCGCGUAGGCGGCUCAGUAAGUCCGCUCUGAAAGCUUGGGGCUUAACCCCAAGAGGCGGGCGGAUACUGCUGGGCUCGAGUCCGGAAGAGGCGAGUGGAAUUCCUGGUGUAGCGGUGAAAUGCGCAGAUAUCAGGAGGAACACCAAUGGCGAAGGCAGCUCGCUGGGACGGUACUGACGCUGAGACGCGAAAGCGUGGGGAGCAAACAGG
rnacentral:rRNA from 1 species